AUUGAACGCUGGCGGCAGGCCUAACACAUGCAAGUCGAGCGGAGCGGCGGACGGGUGAGUGAUGCCUAGGAAUCUGCCUGGUAGUGGGGGAUAAGGUCCGGAAACGGGCGCUAAUACCGCAUACUAUCAGAUGAGCCUAGGUCGGAUUAGCUAGUGGGUGGGGUAAAGGCAUAGCAAGUCGACGAUCCGUAACUGGUCUGAGAGGAUGAUCAGUAACACUGGAACGGAGACACGGUCCAUACUCCUACGGGAGGCAGCAGUGGGGAAUAUUGGACAAUGGGCGAAAGCCUGAUCCAGCCAUGCCGGGUGUGUGAAGAAGGUCUUCGGAUUGUAAAGCACUUUAAGGCGGGAGGCGUUACCAACAGAAGAAGCACCGGCUAACUUCGUGCCAGCAGCCGCGGUAAUUC
rnacentral:rRNA from 1 species